UACAGAGGGUGCUAGCGUUGUUCGGAAUCAUUGGGCGUAAAGGGCGUGUAGGCGGUUUGCUAAGUCAUGUGUGAAAUCCCUCGGCUCAACCGGGGAACGACGCAUGAAACUGGCAAGCUAGAGUACCAAAGAGGGGGUGGAAUUCCCGGGUGUAGCGGUGAAAUGCGUAGAUAUCGGGAGGAACACCUGUGGCGAAGGCGGCCCCCCUGGUUGG
rnacentral:rRNA from 1 species